ACAUAAGGGUUUCUACCGAGUUCUACAUUUUUAAAGGGAACCUAGAAAAAGCUAGCAUUGUUCUUAACUUGGAAAUCCAAUACUUUACUUUGUUGUCUCUGAAUUAAGGCUAAAACCCAGGGGCUGUUUCUUGUAGAAGAAUAUGUGCUAAUUAAUUUAUGCACAGUGCUGUGAGAACACUCUAAUGAAGCAGGUAGAAACAAGAUACAGCCCUGCUGGGUAGGGCAGAUCGCUCAGGGAAACCUGUGCAUGAGCCUGCAGCAGUGGGACCUGGUCAGAGUUAGCUGCAAAGAGGUGUCUUUCCGGUAGCGCUGUGGUAUUCUGGUUUGUGGUGACAGGUAGGGUCAGCUUUUAAUUGUGAUGUUAGGGUGUCAAUUUUGGAUCUUUCCUGCUUUCUCUUGUGGGCAUUUAGUGCUAUAAAUUUCCCUCUACACACUGCUUUGAAUGCAUCCCAGAGAUUCUGGUAUGUUGUGUCUUUGUUCUCGUUGGUUUCAAAGAACAUCUUUAUUUCUGCCUUCAUUUCGUUAUGUAUCCAGUAGUCAUUCAGGAGCAGGUUGUUCA
rnacentral:lncRNA from 1 species